GGAUUGCAGCCUGCAACUCGGCUGCAUGAAGCCGGAAUCGCCAGUAAUCGCGGAUCAGAAUGCCGCGGUGAAUACGUUCCCGGGUCUUGUACACACCGCCCGUCACACCAUGGGAGCCGGUAAUACCCGAAGUCAGUAGUCUAACCGCAAGGAGGACGCUGCCGAAGGUAGGAUUGGCGACUGGGGUGAAGUCGUAACAAGGUAUC
rnacentral:rRNA from 1 species